rnacentral:lncRNA from 1 species
GAACAGUAUGGCAAGCCUUAAUGUUUAUUCCGUACUAGUGGUUUUAUUCUUAACUUGCGGGGCAGUAAUGGCUACGAAGGAGAACGACCUAGAUUAUUAAGGAAAAUAAUUGUGAAACUAAAAUGGGUUUUCCCUGUGUUCUAGAAGCUUUCACGAGUAUUUUUGAGACAGGGAGUAUUUCUAACAAGUGUUGCGGCGAACUUGUUGUGUUGGGAAAAGUUUGCCACUCAGCAUUAGUAAAGAGGACUCUUGAAAAUCCUUUAUUCAAAUACGUAAGCCCAGAGACAAUUAUAGCGCAGAGCAUCCAGACAUGGAAUAAUUGCCUUGCAUUAAUCGAUUCACCAUCUCCGUCUGCUUAAGGAUAUAUGAUUGCUUAAGCUAACAAACGGUUACAAGACGUAACGGGGCCCAAAAUUGUUCUUUUGUCUUUAUUUUUGAUAUUGUUCCAAAAGCUUCAUUAAAAUGUGUCAUUAAAUUUAAGCCAUGUUAAAUUAUAUUGAGUUUUAAGAAAAUUAAAUGGUUCUAGAGAAGCCAUUACUUAAUACACUAUGAUUUUAGACAUGCCAUUAUUUUUACCGUUGUAGCAGUGGAACUCUAUAACCAUAUCAAAUCGAGCACUAGAUAUUGUUUCACAUAGUUUAAACUGACACAAAUAUCAUUAUUAUAAACAUUAAGUUCAGUUCAAUAAUGUGGAAUUGGAAUGUUCCAGCGUGGUGUGGCAUUGAAACAAUCUCGAUUCCUUAAAAGUCUUUAUACAAUAUAAAUUCGCAUUGGCUUUAAGGGAAGAAAAACCUCGACUUCUCGAAGUUGUGAAAAGACACAUAUCGUGCCAGGAAAUAUCCUCCAAGGGACAUGCACUAUAAUUUGUAAUUGUUCCUUGCCUAUGGACUCCUUUGUUUCAUUUUCGAUUUCCACUCCUGUGAUACUUAUCUAAUAGUUAUGACCUCUUUCUUCUCCGUAGAGAAGAGGCAAUCUUGAAAUCCUCGUCGAACGUGAUGUAUCGCUUCAAAGUCUUAACUUGGUUUCCAUAUUCUUCUGUCUUUAGAUUGCUUUCUUUUAUCAAGAUCGAGAAUGAAACUCCAAAUAUGUCGGCGGCAUACGUCCCACAUUCUCCCUAUUAAAAAAGGUUCAAUUUAUAUAAAAACAAAAUCCUAUCCAUUAUUUGGGCAAUACCUACGAGAGUUAUAGAAAUGUAACAUCAUUUGUUGUUUGCAAUUUAACUCUCUAAGAGAAUUUUUCAUUUUCCAAACUCCAUUACAUAUCCCACUAAAAGCUUCCAUUCAUAUUCCAGUAAAAUUGGGUCGGAAUGCUCACACCUAAAAGGUUAACGUACAACGAAGAAUAUAAAAACCGAAUUGGAGUCCCACGAUAAAGGCAAACAUCGUCUUAAUUUCAGAACGAGAAAUAUUUUUGAUGUAUUAAUUAAGGAUUUCAAUCAUUCAUUUGCCAUUUUCCAUUUUACAAAUAUGAUAAGUGCAAUAAAAGCUUUUUAACAACAACAAAGUUAUAAAAUUUUGCAAGUCGCAUAAUAAUUUCUAUAUUGUGCCACAUCCAUACCACUGGAAGAGGAAUCUCGUAUAGCUCAUUCAAUUUUGAGAAACACGUGAAUUUUUAACCAUCAACAUAACAAGUGCGCACACAACUUUAAAAAAUUAGAAAAAUAGGACGACACACAUAACGAUUAUGUGUGCCUAUAAUGCAAGUGUACUAUAUCCCGUAUUGCUUUUUCCAUAUGUUGUUUCCUCCAUAUUAUCGUCCAGGUGUUUGGUUUGGAGUGGACGUAAUAGUUCAAUCCCAGUUUCAACGGUGAAACACAUGUACGACAGAAUCAUCUUUAUUGAACCUUAUUUUCGUGAUCAGUUUAAUGCCAUUUAAGAAUUAUAAAGGCAAGUAUAAAUGUUCGUCUUUGAAUUAAUAUUUAGAUUUGUAGUAAUAAAAAUUAAUGCAAAUUAAACUGAAAUCUUGAAUGUUCUAAUUAAACUGAAAUAUUGAAUGUUAGAACGUAUUCUAGUCCAAUGUGGUUAUACCACUUCCUAUAAAUGCCAGUUUUUUCCCUGCAAAUCUUGUUCGAAAUUAAUUUUACGAACCAAAUUUAACUAGUAACAUCAUAUUCGAACAGUAUGGCAAGCCUUAAUGUUUAUUCCGUACUAGUGGUUUUAUUCUUAACUUGCGGGGCAGUAAUGGCUACGAAGGAGAACGACCAGAUUAUUAAGGAAAAUAAUUGUGAAACUAAAAUGGGUUUUCCCUGUGUUCUAGAAGCUUUCACGAGUAUUUUUGAGACAGGGAGUAUUUCUAACAAGUGUUGCGGCGAACUUGUUGUGUUGGGAAAAGUUUGCCACUCAGCAUUAGUAAAGAGGACUCUUGAAAAUCCUUUAUUCAAAUACGUAAGCCCAGAGACAAUUAUAGCGCAGAGCAUCCAGACAUGGAAUAAUUGCCUUGCAUUAAUCGAUUCACCAUCUCCGUCUGCUUAAGGAUAUAUGAUUGCUUAAGCUAACAAACGGUUACAAGACGUAACGGGGCCCAAAAUUGUUCUUUUGUCUUUAUUUUUGAUAUUGUUCCAAAAGCUUCAUUAAAAUGUGUCAUUAAAUUUAAGCCAUGUUAAAUUAUAUUGAGUUUUAAGAAAAUUAAAUGGUUCUAGAGAAGCCAUUACUUAAUACACUAUGAUUUUAGACAUGCCAUUAUUUUUACCGUUGUAGCAGUGGAACUCUAUAACCAUAUCAAAUCGAGCACUAGAUAUUGUUUCACAUAGUUUAAACUGACACAAAUAUCAUUAUUAUAAACAUUAAGUUCAGUUCAAUAAUGUGGAAUUGGAAUGUUCCAGCGUGGUGUGGCAUUGAAACAAUCUCGAUUCCUUAAAAGUCUUUAUACAAUAUAAAUUCGCAUUGGCUUUAAGGGAAGAAAAACCUCGACUUCUCGAAGUUGUGAAAAGACACAUAUCGUGCCAGGAAAUAUCCUCCAAGGGACAUGCACUAUAAUUUGUAAUUGUUCCUUGCCUAUGGACUCCUUUGUUUCAUUUUCGAUUUCCACUCCUGCGAUACUUAUCUAAUAGUUAUGACCUCUUUCUUCUCCGUAGAGAAGAGGCAAUCUUGAAAUCCUCGUCGAACGUGAUGUAUCGCUUCAAAGUCUUAACUUGGUUUCCAUAUUCUUCUGUCUUUAGAUUGCUUUCUUUUAUCAAGAUCGAGAAUGAAACUCCAAAUAUGUCGGCGGCAUACGUCCCACAUUCUCCCUAUUAAAAAAGGUUCAAUUUAUAUAAAAACAAAAUCCUAUCCAUUAUUUGGGCAAUACCUACGAGAGUUAUAGAAAUGUAACAUCAUUUGUUGUUUGCAAUUUAACUCUCUAAGAGAAUUUUUCAUUUUCCAAACUCCAUUACAUAUCCCACUAAAAGCUUCCAUUCAUAUUCCAGUAAAAUUGGGUCGGAAUGCUCACACCUAAAAGGUUAACGUACAACGAAGAAUAUAAAAACCGAAUUGGAGUCCCACGAUAAAGGCAAACAUCGUCUUAAUUUCAGAACGAGAAAUAUUUUUGAUGUAUUAAUUAAGGAUUUCAAUCAUUCAUUUGCCAUUUUCCAUUUUACAAAUAUGAUAAGUGCAAUAAAAGCUUUUUAACAACAACAAAGUUAUAAAAUUUUGCAAGUCGCAUAAUAAUUUCUAUAUUGUGCCACAUCCAUACCACUGGAAGAGGAAUCUCGUAUAGCUCAUUCAAUUUUGAGAAACACGUGAAUUUUUAACCAUCAACAUAACAAGUGCGCACACAACUUUAAAAAAUUAGAAAAAUAGGACGACACACAUAACGAUUAUGUGUGCCUAUAAUGCAAGUGUACUAUAUCCCGUAUUGCUUUUUCCAUAUGUUGUUUCCUCCAUAUUAUCGUCCAGGUGUUUGGUUUGGAGUGGACGUAAUAGUUCAAUCCCAGUUUCAACGGUGAAACACAUGUACGACAGAAUCAUCUUUAUUGAACCUUAUUUUCGUGAUCAGUUUAAUGCCAUUUAAGAAUUAUAAAGGCAAGUAUAAAUGUUCGUCUUUGAAUUAAUAUUUAGAUUUGUAGUAAUAAAAAUUAAUGCAAAUUAAACUGAAAUCUUGAAUGUUCUAAUUAAACUGAAAUAUUGAAUGUUAGAACGUAUUCUAGUCCAAUGUGGUUAUACCACUUCCUAUAAAUGCCAGUUUUUUCCCUGCAAAUCUUGUUCGAAAUUAAUUUUACGAACCAAAUUUAACUAGUAACAUCAUAUUCGAACAGUAUGGCAAGCCUUAAUGUUUAUUCCGUACUAGUGGUUUUAUUCUUAACUUGCGGGGCAGUAAUGGCUACGAAGGAGAACGACCAGAUUAUUAAGGAAAAUAAUUGUGAAACUAAAAUGGGUUUUCCCUGUGUUCUAGAAGCUUUCACGAGUAUUUUUGAGACAGGGAGUAUUUCUAACAAGUGUUGCGGCGAACUUGUUGUGUUGGGAAAAGUUUGCCACUCAGCAUUAGUA